AAUGGGUGAGUAACACGUACUCAACGUACCUUUUAGAUUGGGAUAGCGGAUGGAAACAUCCGAUAAUACCGAAUACUUAUUAUUUUUGCAUGAAAGUAAUAUAAAAGGAAGCGUUUGCUUCGCUAAAAGAUCGGAGUGCGCAACAUUAGCUAGUUGGUGAGGUAACGGCCCACCAAGGCGAUGAUGUUUAGCGGGGUUGAGAGAUUGAUCCGCCACACUGGGACUGAGAUACGGCCCAGACUCCUACGGGAGGCAGCAGUAGGGAAUAUUCCACAAUGGACGAAAGUCUGAUGGAGCGACACAGCGUGCAGGAUGAAGGCCCUAUGGGUUGUAAACUGCUGUGGUUAGGGAAGAAAAAGUAGCAUAGGAAAUGAUGCUACCUUGACGGUACCUGAUUAGAAAGCAACGGCUAACUAUGUGCCAGCAGCCGCGGUAAUACAUAGGUUGCAAGCGUUAUCCGAAAUUAUUGGGCGUAAAGCGUCUGUAGGUUGUUUGUUAAGUCUGGCGUUAAAUUUUGGGGCUCAACCCCAAAACGCGUUGGAUACUGGCAGACUAGAGUUAUGUAGAGGUUAGCGGAAUUCCUUGUGAAGCGGUGAAAUGCGUAGAUAUAAGGAAGAACAUCAAUAUGGCGAAGGCAGCUAACUGGGCAUACACUGACACUGAGAGACGAAAGCGUGGGGAGCAAACAGGAUUAGAUACCCUGGUAGUCCACGCCCUAAACGAUGAUCAUUAGUUGAUGGGGAACUCAUCGACGCAGCUAACGCAUUAAAUGAUCCGCCUGAGUAGUACGUUCGCAAGAAUAAAACUUAAAGGAAUUGACGGGGAUCCGCACAAGCGGUGGAGCAUGUGGUUUAAUUUGAUGUUACGCGUAGAACCUUACCCACUCUUGACAUCUUCUGCAAAGCUAUGGAGACAUAGUGGAGGUUAACAGAAUGACAGAUGGUGCA
rnacentral:rRNA from 1 species